rnacentral:rRNA from 1 species
GACGAACGCUGGCGGCGUGCUUAACACAUGCAAGUCGAACGGAAAGGCCCUGCUUUUGUGGGGUGCUCGAGUGGCGAACGGGUGAGUAACACGUGAGUAACCUGCCCUUGACUUUGGGAUAACUCCAGGAAACUGGGGCUAAUACCGGAUAGGAGCUCCUGCUGCAUGGUGGGGGUUGGAAAGUUUCGGCGGUUGGGGAUGGACUCGCGGCUUAUCAGCUUGUUGGUGGGGUAGUGGCUUACCAAGGCUUUGACGGGUAGCCGGCCUGAGAGGGUGACCGGCCACAUUGGGACUGAGAUACGGCCCAGACUCCUACGGGAGGCAGCAGUGGGGAAUAUUGCACAAUGGGCGGAAGCCUGAUGCUGCAACUCCGCGUGCGGGAUGACGGCCUUCGGGUUGUAAACCGCUUUCGCCUGUGACGAAGCGUGAGUGACGGUAAUGGGUAAAGAAGCACCGGCUAACUACGUG